rnacentral:lncRNA from 1 species
CCCCCUUUAUUUUUGCCGAUCAAUGCAUUUGUAUCGGGACAUAUGUUUUGCACCCCCUGCACCCCCCCUUUGCCCUGGGUUAGCACCCCCCUUUCGAAAAUUCCUGCAUCCGCCCCUGGACUAAAUAUACAUUGUGAUAUUUGAUAUGCUGUCAUUUAUUGUCUUUUCCUUUACUUCUCAUCAUUGAUGUCCUCCAGUAGAAUCACGAGAGUAUUAUCUGACACAAGUUUGUUAAAUUCUAUAUUUUGAUUCAAUGUAUAUAUUAAAGUUCUAUUCAUCACAGUCAUGUUGCUACAAAUGACUGGAACUGCUUCCUGGCACAGUUACUUCUCCUUUUUAUUUUGCCCAAGACAUUUCCCUGGGACAAUUUAUUCUGUAAACAUAAACUAGAGGCUCUUAAGAGCCUGUGUCGCUCACCUUAGUCUAUGUGCAUAUAACAAAGGACACAGAUGGAUUCAUGACAAAAUUGUGUUUUGGUGAUGGUGAUGUGUUUGUAGAUCUUACUUUACUGAACAUUCUUGCUUCUUACAAUUAUCUCAUUAUCUCAAUUUAUAAUGAAAUUGGCCCAUGAGUUACAGAGGAAUAUAUUUUGUUAAAAUUUAUAAAAAUUUACAAAAUUUACAAAAUUAUUAAAAAUUGACUAUAAAGGGCAAUAACUCCUUAAGGGGUCAACUGACCUUUUCGGUCAACUGACCUUUUCGGUCAUGUUGACUUAUUUGUGGAUCUUACUUUGCUGUACAUUAUUGCUGUUUACAGUUUAUCUCUAUCUAUAAUAAUAUUCAAGAUAAUAAUAACAAAACAGCAAAAUUUCCUUAAAAAUUACCAAUUCAGGGGCAGCAACCCAACAACCAGUUGUCGGAUUCAUCUGAAAAUUUCAGGGCAGAUAGAUCUUGACUUGCAAACAAUUUAUCCCCAUAUCUGAAUUGCUCUUAAUGCUUUGGUUUCAGAGUUAUAAGCCAAAAUCUACAUUUUACCCCUAUGUUCUAUUUUUAGCCAUGGCGGCCAUCUUGAUUGGUUGGCCGGGUCACGCCACAUAUUUUUUUAAACUAGAUACCCCAAUGAUGAUUGUGGCCAAGUUUGGUUUGAUUUGGCCCAGUAGUUUCAGAGGAGAAGAUUUUUGUAAAAGUUAACGCCGGACACAAAGUGAUGAGAAAAGCUUCGGGCCAAGUGAGCUAAAAAGGUGAUUAAGUAAAAAGACUUAUAGCAAUUGCAAACAGUUGUGAUGUUUAUAUUAAGAUGUUGAAUUUCACAAGAACUGAAUGUAACUGAAAGUUAAAAGUUCAUAAAAGGCAAAUAUAAAAUGAACAUUCUUAUGAAAAAAAAAUCGACAAGUUAUUAUACUUGAAAUUAGUAACAAAUGCAAUUUUCUAAAGCAGCUUAACUCCUGCGAAAAAAGCUAAUCUGCAACAAUUAUUGAACUCAUGCAUAAC